UACAGAGGGGGCAAGCGUUGUUCGGAAUUACUGGGCGUAAAGGGCGCGUAGGCGGCCUUCUAAGUCGAACGUGAAAUCCCCGGGCUCAACCCGGGAACUGCGUCCGAUACUGGGAGGCUUGAAUCCGGGAGAGGGAUGUGGAAUUCCAGGUGUAGCGGUGAAAUGCGUAGAUAUCUGGAGGAACACCGGUGGCGAAGGCGGCAUCCUGGACCGGUAUUGACGCUGAGGCGCGAAAGCCAGGGGAGCAAAGCGGG
rnacentral:rRNA from 1 species